rnacentral:lncRNA from 1 species
CUGCACUGUGCACCGUUUUAAACAUAAAUGUGAUGAUUACCACCCAGGAAGCUCGCCUUGGGGCAGGCAGGGUGCCCUGUCCCUCUGCCCGUGGAGCUCCAGGCAGCAGGCAUGGGCAGUACCGCUGCUCCAUGUGCACACAAGGCCCAGACUCCACACAGGAAAACUGCCAUCUGAAAGGAGAAUUGGAACGCACAGCCCAUCUGACUCUUGUCUUACUGAGACGUUAAACAGGAACACUCCCCAUAUCUGUAUGCACAGAAGACAAUACCGCCAGCUGUGUGAGGACCAAUCUUUCUCUCUCUUUUGGUGCACAAUUUUCCUGCACAAUAACCACUGACUUGUCUUUCCUUUCUGAAGACAAUUGUCCACCCGAGUGUCAGAUGAAGGGUGAAUUAUCUCCGAGAUACAGCGCGGGAGCACGACCAUGUUUCCAGUGCUGAGGCUUCCUCUGCAGCUCUCUGAACCUGUGUCGGUGCGUCUGCAGGCAGACGCCCCAGUCUGUGCUCGGGAGGCAGCCCUUGAAAGGGAGCCAGGAGGCCCAGACACACACAGGCACCUGUGCCCAAAUCCGGGCGAUGAUCCAGAAAUUAAGCGCCCAGGUCUGUCUCUAAUUGCACGUUUCAGCAGCGCCGCCCACCUAAUACAUCACUCUCUGAUGUGAAGGGAGGGGGAAAUUGCAGCCAGCCAGUCUGGUCUUUCCUCUGGAAAGGUUGGGAGAUGUCAGAGGAGUGGCAGCAGCAAGUCGUCUCACGUGAACCCGGAGGUGCUCUGUGGUUCCCCAAGGGGCGGAGCCUGCGCUGCUGGGGUCUGGGAUGGAGGGGCUUUGCACUGGACCACCUGAGCUAUCCAGGGUGUGGGGCUCCAUAGAGGCCCAGAUAGGGGCUCAGGGACCUCCAGCCAGGGCAGAAGAGCUCAGGGGUGGUUUCCUGGCUCUCUGCAGUGAGUAGGGUGUUAGAAGGCACCAAAACAAGGCCCCUCCCCCUUGGAUCUGCAGGACAUGGGCUGGUCGUAUGUCAGCUGUUGCUGCCACAGAAGUCAGGCUUCCAGGGGUGGAGUGAGCCCUGGGGUGACCUGGUGAUUCUGCAGCCACUGUGACAAGGCAUGGAGUGUCUUACGGGUCCCCUGCGGUCCAGUGUUAGAGCACCAAGUUACGUAACCCAUGUGACCCUGGGCUUCCCAACACGGCGCAGGCUUUCCCGUAGACCCUCCUUCACGCUGGAGCCCCUUUGACAGGAAGGGUGAGAUCAAAGGAAUCCUUCUCUCCAUGAGGAAUGCCGGCGCUUGCAGCAGCUGCUCUGCGAGGGCCCGCAUGUUUGCAGACCCGGACCUCAGGAAGGGAAUGCAGGUGACCACAGCAGCGCAUUCGGGAAGGUUCGGGGCCAGCUGGCGGCCACAUGAGGAGCCUGCCCUCCCAGACUUUACACAGCCUGCGUCACUGGCAUUAUCAUGUUCAUCACUUCUACUGAUGGGGCUGAGUCUCCAACCAAUAAUUGGGCUGCAUCUCCCGAGGUCGGUCAAGUGGCUUCUCCGAAAUCACCCUGCAGGGUCCCUGAACUGACAUUAAUCAGCUUCAGCCUCAGCUAUCUCCUGGACUGGGUCACCUGUAUCCGAGGCUCCCAGCUUCAGCCAGACUCAGGCCUCUGAUAUUCCUCAGCUCGCCCUGGUCAUUAACCAGACUUUCUCUCUACUCAUGAGCCAGCCUCAGGCAUCUAAAUGAGCAACGGUCCAUCUGCCUGUCAGAAAGAAGACCCAGACACAGUCCCGGAUGCAACCAUGACUCUCAGCACCAAGGCAUCCCCCCUUCAGCGUUCAGAAUGUGAGUCCAUGCUUUUCAGACACUGACAUCUGAGUCUGUCCAUCAGCAGCAAAGCAGCCUCCUUAAGUAGCUCCCACAGGACCCGGACACACACACACACACACACACACACACACACAUACACACACACACACACACGCGCGCAUCCAACCCCAUCAGCAGCAAAACAGCCUCCUUAAAUAGCUCCCGCAGGACCCAGACACACACACACACACACACACACACACACGUGUCCAACCCCGUGGCAGUGAUUUAGAAGCCAAACCCCAGGUACCUCUCAGUCAAAUAUUUCAGGAGUGCCGGCAACCAAGUAAUCACCCUAGAUUCAAAGUGAGGAGAGAAACUGCAGCUUCCAACCUCUUUAAAAUUGCCAGAGGAUGUCAAAGGCAUGGAGUGGGGUGGGCGGUCUCAGUUCUGUUACCAACGCUGUGAGUGACCCGUGUCCUUCAUGGGGAGCUGAGCCUGGGACUGCUGUGCAUGCAGGGUGGGAAAUCCAGACUGAUGGCCUGAGUCCUCCAGCAGCGCGUGGGGUGCAGAGCCCCAGGGGUCAAGGGCAGGGCUUCGGGAUUAUUGAUCUUCGAGGACAGAUCCAAGGCUGGGUCACCCUCUCAGGGGGUGGCUGUCCUGGGUUUACCUGCAGUGCCUGGGGGUCUGACAGCCCUAAAACAAGCCCCCUCUACCUCUUAGAUCUGGGCUCAGGGCACCUUUCAGUACUGGGGCUGUUGCUGCCAUGGGCAUCUGGGCUCCUGGGUUAAAAACGGAAUGGGCAGUUUUUCAAAUUUUGAUAAGUGCUGUCGGUUUGAUGACAUAUCACAAUGGCCACAGGUAAUGGAAUCCACAUAGGGGCUUCACUUCUCAUCAUUCCAGCACCCCCCACCGUGUGUGGAAAUGCACCUUCUCUUCUCCUGGGAGACGUUCCUCCCAUCCAACUGUCUGGUUCCAGGAAGAUACUGUGCUCAUACAUGACUCCGCCCCCAUAGCCACCACUGAUUGGUCUAUGGGUGGUCACCUCACCCCAGAUUGGCCUUUCUGGGACUUUUCAAACUGGAACUGACAUGAAGCCAAGAGGAGGAAGAGACCGCAUGUUUUCUGGCAUAUGGAGAAGGCUGAUCUACCAUGACAAAGAGUUAAGACAAUCUCAUUAGAAGGCAGAGGAGGUGGGGCUGGACCACCCAGGGCCGGCUGCUCUGACGCUCACCUGCACAUCUGACCUGCUCUUUGGCUGCACAACCUGAGUCCAAGAGCAGACCCACAGGGCUCCCUGCAGAGAGUUCAAAGCAGAGGCUAUUUACAGAGGUCCAAGUAGGGGUGGGGAACCUGCAUCCCACGAACUGGAUAAGCAGGGAAACUGUUAUCCACCACAAGCCCCAGGGCACAGGUGUGGGGCUUUGUUUCUGGAAUGCAGGGAGGGUUGUAACUCUGGGAGAGGGGUCACCUGGCAGGAUCUGAGAUCUUAUUUGGGGAAAAACUUCACUGCUAAACAUCAGUCAGGCAGGGGCAAUACCUGCUCCAACUUCUGUCUUCUCCCAUCUUAGGCUUCUCCUGGGGACUCUCAUCAGUCAAAUCCAACAGAAUCCAGAGGGCAGGGAGCCCCACUGGUGCCAUUUAUAGAGGUCAGCCUGUGGGCACAGUGAGGUCAGAGAAGGGCACGGAAUCGAUGCAGAGGGGCAGUCAAAGAGUAACUUGUGCAAAACAACCCUUCUUGGAUUCCUUGAGUCAGUAAAUGUUCCCAUUGGUCUUAGCAUUUCUGAGUUGCAUUUCUCUUAUUUGACUCCAAAACUCCUGUUCUGUAAGUAACUCCCCAAAGACAGUAAGUUUCUCAAACCAGUUACUAAAUCAAGUAUAGGGGCUGGUGAAGCUAAGUGAUGCUUGUUGCAUGGCUAGAUGAGAAGGCGAGAAAGCACUGUGGAGGCUCCAUCAAUGUUAGAUAGAUGCUGCCCUGGUUUCAUCAUCUGCUACCUACCCUUAGGCAGUUUCUUUGUUAAAGCAUCUUAUGAUCUUGCCCAAGAUUACCUGUGAUAGAGUAUGAAGGCCCUUGGUGGCACAACCCCUCUUUUCAUGGUCUUUUAUAAAACCAGCUGCCCAGCAGUGCCUGAGACUGAGCAGACAUUCAAUUCAUGUUGUUUGAAUGAAGGGACAGACGAGUUGAUGAUGGAUAGAUGAUGAAUGGAUGGAUGGAUGGACGGAUGGGUAAGUAAAUGGAUAGAAGAGGAAAUGGAUAAAUAAGUAAAUGAGUAGAUGGGUGGAUGGGUG